rnacentral:rRNA from 1 species
GACGAACGCUGGCGGCGUGCUUAACACAUGCAAGUCGAACGGUGAAGGGGUCUGCUUUUGUGGGCCCUGGAUGAGUGGCGAACGGGUGAGUAACACGUGAGUAACCUGCCCCCUUCUUCUGGAUAACCGCAUGAAAGUGUGGCUAAUACGGGAUAUUCUGGGUCUGUCGCAUGAUGGGUCUGGGAAAGAUUGCGCCUUUGGGUGUUUUUGGUGGGGGAUGGGCUCGCGGCCUAUCAGCUUGUUGGUGGGGUGAUGGCCUACCAAGGCGGUGACGGGUAGCCGGCCUGAGAGGGUGGACGGUCACACUGGGACUGAGACACGGCCCAGACUCCUACGGGAGGCAGCAGUGGGGAAUAUUGCACAAUGGGCGCAAGCCUGAUGCAGCGACGCCGCGUGAGGGAUGGAGGCCUUCGGGUUGUAAACCUCUUUCGCCAGUGAAGCAGGCCUGCUACUUGUGGGUGGGUUGACGGUAGCUGGAUAAGAAGCGCCGGCUAACUACGUG